UACGGGGGGUGCGAGCGUUAUCCGGAUUUAUUGGGUUUAAAGGGAGCGUAGGCGGGUUGUUAAGUCAGUUGUGAAAGUUUGCGGCUCAACCGUAAAAUUGCAGUUGAUACUGGCAUCCUUGAGUACAGUAGAGGUAGGCGGAAUUCGUGGUGUAGCGGUGAAAUGCUUAGAUAUAACUUAGAACUCCGAUAGCGAAGGCAGCUUACCAGACUGCGACUGACGCUGAAGCACGAGAGCGUGGGUAGCGAACAGG
rnacentral:rRNA from 1 species